UCCGGUUUGUCACCGGCAGUCUCACUAAAGUGCCCUUGCGUGGCAACUAGUGACAAGGGUUGCGCUCGUUGCGGGACUUAACCCAACAUCUCACGACACGAGCUGACGACAGCCAUGCAGCACCUGUGUUGCGGCUCCCUUUCGGGCACACCGAGCUCUCGCCCGGCUUCCGCACAUGUCAAGGGUAGGUAAGGUUUUUCGCGUUGCAUCGAAUUAAUCCACAUCAUCCACCGCUUGUGCGGGUCCCCGUCAAUUCCUUUGAGUUUUAACCUUGCGGCCGUACUCCCCAGGCGGUCGACUUCACGCGUUAGCUUCGUUACUAAGGAAGUUGCCUUCCCCAACAACCAGUCGACAUCGUUUAGGGCGUGGACUAC
rnacentral:misc_RNA from 1 species